ensembl:lincRNA
GCCUGAGCUAAACCCAAUUUCUGCCCUGACCUCGGCAGCCUCCUCUACCAGGCCUUUUGUGUGUACUGCUGAGUCUGUCAGGUCAAGAGUGAGGGGUCUGGUUUCCUUCUUGCCAUGGUUACCUUCCAUGUACCAUCAGCUCUGGAAUUACCUGAUGUUGGGGCUGGGUUGCCAAGUUGUCUCAGUGUUCCUCGUCUGUGCUGGGUGUUAUGUGUUUCCAGUGAGUGACCCCCAUCCAGGCUUGCUCCACUGGGGAGCUUGUGUCUUCUACCUGCCCAACUUCAUCUUUCAUACACAAAAAAGUAAUCUAUGCACGUUGUCAAAAGCGUGGACGGAGUGCGGAGGAGAAAGUAGGAAGAUUUUCAGAGCCAGCUGCUCAGCCUAACAGAGUGGCUGCCAAGAUGUGUUCAUCUUCCUUGUGUUUGUGGAGAAGAUCUGAGAACUUAUGGCUGGACCCUGCCCAUCUGAAGAGGAUGAGUUGGUAGAGUGGCAUAAAUGCAAAAUAAUUCCCAUCGACGAGAAUAAUGAGUGAAACUGAAACCAUCUCAGACAGGUAAGUGUAAAACUCCAAGUAAAACUCUAGGAACUCUGGUUCCUGGUUAAAAUAC